UAUAAAGGUAUUAAUUUUUUAUUAAUUAAGUUAUAAAAUUUUGGUUUUUUUAAGUUUAUCAAAUAAUUAAUUGUUUUUUUUAUUACUGAAUAGGAUUUACUUUCAAUAAUAUAAUACAAUUUUUAGUACCUUUUGUAUCAGGGUUAAUUUAUUAUUAAGUUUAUACUUUUUUCCCGAAGUGAAAAUAUUUAAAUUUAAAUUAGUUUAUUUAUUACAAAAUAUUUCUUAAUUUAUUUUUAGUAAUUAAAAAUUAUUCGUUUUUCAAUAUAUCUGGUUUUCUAAAAUAAAAUUUAAUUUUAGAUUUUUGUGUUUAAAAAUCUUAUUUUUUUUGGGACAAGCUAAAAUUACAAAUAUAAUUAUUUAAUUUAAUAUAUUUUUUAAAGUUUUAAAAUCUUUCAUUAAGUUCUUAAUAGAUUAGAAUUAUUAUUUUUAAUUUUAUUUUAUUUAUUUUUUUAUUAGAAUUUUUUACAAAAUUUGUUUUUAUUAAAAAUAAUGAUUAAAUUAGUAUAAUUUUAAAUUAAUUAUUUAUGAAUUCAACAAAUAUUAUUUUCAACUGUUUAACAAAAACAUUUUUUUUAGAUUUAUAUUAAAAGUAUUUUCUGCCCAAUGAUUAUUAUUUAAAUGGCUGCAGUAAUUUGACUGUGCAAAGGUAGCAUAAUAAUUAGUCUUUUAAUUGUUGACUGGAAUGAAAGGAUAGAUGAAAAAUAAGUUUUAUUAUUUUUAUUAUUAAAAUUUUAUUUUUAAGUAAAAAAGCUUAAUUUUUUUUUUGGGACGAAAAGACCCUAUAGAAUUUUGAUAUUAAAAAUAUAUUAAUUUUUUUUAAUAAAUUUUUUAAUUUUUUUUAAUUUUUUGGUUGGGGGGAUAAAUAAAUAAUAAACUUUAUUUUUUUUUAUCAUUAAAUUAAUGAAUAUUUUGAUCCGUAAAUAGUGAAAAAAAGAUAAAAUUACCUUAGGGAUAACAGCGUAAUUGAAAUGGCGAGAUCAUAUUUAUAUUUUAGUUUGCGACCUCGAUGUUGAAUUAAGAAAAGUUAGAGGGGUAGUUUCUUUUAAUACUAAGUCUGUUCGACUUUUAAAUUCUUACAUGAUUUGAGUUCAGAUCGGCGUGAGCCAGAUCGGUUUCUAUCUUAAAAAAUUUUUGUUUUUUUAGUACGAAAGGACCAAAUAACACUAAAUUUAUUUAGUAACAAAAUUUAUUAA
rnacentral:rRNA from 1 species